rnacentral:lncRNA from 1 species
CAUAAAUAAACCAAACCUCAAGGUAUACGGUAUCCAUGUACAAAGUGUCAUUAAACGUUCCUUCAGAGCUAUGAAAAGCGCAAACACGAAAAUCAGUGCUCAGACAGCCGCACUGUGUUACCGACAUGAAUGUAUGAUUUGUUCCAAGCGGUGUGUGACGGCUCACGGAUUAUGUCAACAUCAACAAUUAAGUCACAGUCCCAACAGACAAUCAAUAAAAAGACC